rnacentral:rRNA from 1 species
CCUACGGGUGGCAGCAGUGAGGAAUAUUGGUCAAUGGCCGUAAGGCUGAACCAGCCAAGUCGCGUGAAGGAAGAAGGAUCUAUGGUUUGUAAGCUUCUUUUAUAGGGGAAUAAAGGUAUCCACGUGUGGAUAUUUGCAUGUACCCUAUGAAUAAGCAUCGGCUAACUCCGUGCCAGCAGCCGCGGUAAUACGGAGGAUGUGAGCGUUAUCCGGAUUUAUUGGGUGUAAAGGGUGCGUAGGUUGUUUUGUAAGUCAGAAGUGAAAGUUUGUGGCUUAACCAUAAAAUUGCCUUUGAAACUGGAAGACUUGAGUGUGGGUGAGGUAGGCGGAAUGCGUGGUGUAGCGGUGAAAUGCAUAGAUAUUACGAAGAACUCCGAUUGCGAAGGCAGCUUACUAAGCCAUAACUGACACUGAAGCACGAAAGCGUGGGGAUCAAACAGGAUUAGAUACCCUGGUAGUC